rnacentral:rRNA from 1 species
GCAGCCUACCAUGCAAGUCGAGCGGAAACGAGUUAUCUGAACCUUCGGGGGACGAUAACGGCGCUCGAGCGGCGGACGGGUGAGUAAUGCCUAGGAAAUUGCCCUGAUGUGGGGGAUAACCAUUGGAAACGAUGGCUAAUACCGCAUAAUGCCUACGGGCCAAAGAGGGGGACCUUCGGGCCUCUCGCGUCAGGAUAUGCCUAGGUGGGAUUAGCUAGUUGGUGAGGUAAUGGCUCACCAAGGCGACGAUCCCUAGCUGGUCUGAGAGGAUGAUCAGCCACACUGGAACUGAGACACGGUCCAGACUCCUACGGGAGGCAGCAGUGGGGAAUAUUGCACAAUGGGCGCAAGCCUGAUGCAGCCAUGCCGCGUGUGUGAAGAAGGCCUUCGGGUUGUAAAGCACUUUCAGUCGUGAGGAAGGUAGUGUAGUUAAUAGCUGCAUUAUUUGACGUUAGCGACAGAAGAAGCACCGGCUAACUCCGUGCCAGCAGCCGCGGUAAUACGGAGGGUGCGAGCGUUAAUCGGAAUUACUGGGCGUAAAGCGCAUGCAGGUGGUUUGUUAAGUCAGAUGUGAAAGCCCGGGGCUCAACCUCGGAAUUGCAUUUGAAACUGGCAGACUAGAGUACUGUAGAGGGGGGUAGAAUUUCAGGUGUAGCGGUGAAAUGCGUAGAGAUCUGAAGGAAUACCGGUGGCGAAGGCGGCCCCCCUGGACAGAUACUGACACUCAGAUGCGAAAGCGUGGGGAGCAAACAGGAUUAGAUACCUCGGGGAAU